rnacentral:misc_RNA from 1 species
UCUUGGUCAUUUAGAGGAAGUAAAAGUCGUAACAAGGUUUCCGUAGGUGAACCUGCGGAAGGAUCAUUACAGUAUUCUUUUUGCCAGCGCUUAAUUGCGCGGCGAAAAAACCUUACACACAGUGUUUUUUGUUAUUACAAGAACUUUUGCUUUGGUCUGGACUAGAAAUAGUUUGGGCCAGAGGUUUACUGAACUAAACUUCAAUAUUUAUAUUGAAUUGUUAUUUAUUUAAUUGUCAAUUUGUUGAUUAAAUUCAAAAAAUCUUCAAAACUUUCAACAACGGAUCUCUUGGUUCUCGCAUCGAUGAAGAACGCAGCGAAAUGCGAUAAGUAAUAUGAAUUGCAGAUUUUCGUGAAUCAUCGAAUCUUUGAACGCACAUUGCGCCCUCUGGUAUUCCAGAGGGCAUGCCUGUUUGAGCGUCAUUUCUCUCUCAAACCUUCGGGUUUGGUAUUGAGUGAUACUCUUAGUCGAACUAGGCGUUUGCUUGAAAUGUAUUGGCAUGAGUGGUACUGGAUAGUGCUAUAUGACUUUCAAUGUAUUAGGUUUAUCCAACUCGUUGAAUAGUUUAAUGGUAUAUUUCUCGGUAUUCUAGGCUCGGCCUUACAAUAUAACUAAACAAGGUGACCUCAAAUACUUGUUUACGUAUAUCAACCU